rnacentral:rRNA from 1 species
AGAGUUUGAUCAUGGCUCAGAGCGAACGCUGGCGGCAGGCUUAACACAUGCAAGUCGAACGGGCACCUUCGGGUGUCAGUGGCAGACGGGUGAGUAACACGUGGGAACGUACCCUUCGGUUCGGAACAACUCUGGGAAACUGGAGCUAAUACCGGAUACGCCCUUGGCCUUUGGCCCUGGGGAAAGGUUUACUGCCGAAGGAUCGGCCCGCGUCUGAUUAGCUAGUUGGUGAGGUAACGGCUCACCAAGGCGACGAUCAGUAGCUGGUCUGAGAGGAUGAUCAGCCACACUGGGACUGAGACACGGCCCAGACUCCUACGGGAGGCAGCAGUGGGGAAUAUUGGACAAUGGGCGCAAGCCUGAUCCAGCCAUGCCGCGUGAGUGAUGAAGGCCUUAGGGUUGUAAAGCUCUUUUGUCCGGGACGAUAAUGACGGUACCGGAAGAAUAAGCCCCGGCUAACUUCGUGCCAGCAGCCGCGGUAAUACGAAGGGGGCUAGCGUUGCUCGGAAUCACUGGGCGUAAAGGGCGCGUAGGCGGCCUGAUCAGUCGGGGGUGAAAGCCUGUGGCUCAACCACAGAAUGGCCUUCGAUACUGUCAGGCUUGAGACCGGAAGAGGUAAGUGGAACUGCGAGUGUAGAGGUGAAAUUCGUAGAUAUUCGCAAGAACACCAGUGGCGAAAGCGGCUUACUGGUCCGGAUCU